AGUGAACGCUGGCGGUAGGCCUAACACAUGCAAGUCGAACGGCAGCACAGGAGAGCUUGCUCUCUGGGUGGCGAGUGGCGGACGGGUGAGGAAUACAUCGGAAUCUACUCUGUCGUGGGGGAUAACGUAGGGAAACUUACGCUAAUACCGCAUACGACCUACGGGUGAAAGCAGGGGAUCUUCGGACCUUGCGCGAUUGAAUGAGCCGAUGUCGGAUUAGCUAGUUGGCGGGGUAAAGGCCCACCAAGGCGACGGUCCGUAGAUGGUGUGAGAGGAUGCUCGGCCACACUGGAACUGAGACACGGUCCAGACUCCUACGGGAGGCAGCAGUGGGGAAUAUUGGACAAUGGGCGCAAGCCUGAUCCAGCCAUACCGCGUGGGUGAAGAAGGCCUUCGGGUUGUAAAGCCCUUUUGUUGGGAAAGAAAUCCAGCUGGCUAAUACCCGGUUGGGAUGACGGUACCCAAAGAAUAAGCACCGGCUAACUUCGUGCCAGCAGCCGCGGUAA
rnacentral:rRNA from 1 species